rnacentral:rRNA from 1 species
ACGGCUCAGUAACACGUAGUCAACAUGCCCAGGGGACGUGGAUAACCUCGGGAAACUGAGGAUAAACCACGAUAAGUCACUAUUUCUGGAAUGGAUAAUGACUCAAAUCUACAUGGCCCCUGGAUUGGACUGCGGCCGAUCAGGCUGUUGGUGAGGUAAUGGCCCACCAAACCUGUAACCGGUACGGGCUCUGAGAGGAGGAGCCCGGAGAUGGGCACUGAGACAAGGGCCCAGGCCCUAUGGGGCGCAGCAGGCGCGAAACCUCUGCAAUAGGCGAAAGCCUGACAGGGUUACUCUGAGUGAUUUCCGUUAAGGAGAUCUUUUGGCACCUCUAAAAAUGGUGCAGAAUAAGGGGUGGGCAAGUCUGGUGUCAGCCGCCGCGGUAAUACCAGCACCCCGAGUGGUCGGGACGUUUAUUGGGCCUAAAGCAUCCGUAGCCGGUUCUACAAGUCUUCCGUUAAAUCCACCUGCUUAACAGAUGGGCUGCGGAAGAUACUAUAGAGCUAGGAGGCGGGAGAGGCAAGCGGUACUCGAUGGGUAGGGGUAAAAUCCGUUGAUCCAUUGAAGACCACCAGUGGCGAAGGCGGCUUGCCGGAACGCGCUCGACGGUGAGGGAUGAAAGCUGGGGGAGCAAACCGGAUUAGAUACCCGGGUAGUCCCAGCUGUAAACGAUGCAGACUCGGUGAUGAGUUGGCUAUAUGCCUACUCAGUGCCGCAGGGAAGCCGUUAAGUUUGCCGCCUGGGGAGUACGGUCGCAAGACUGAAACUUAAAGGAAUUGGCGGGGGAGCAC